rnacentral:lncRNA from 1 species
CGGGGCCCGUGUGCGUUCCCGGCGAAGGCUUGCUGGGGCUGGCCGGGAUCUGAGGUUGGUUGAUAUGUUCAUGUAAAGAUUGACACUCCUUCUUUUUCGUUUUUAUCUUCUUCCCAGUUCACGUGCAGGGACUAGAUUGCUGGCUAGAUCUUCCUAACUGAACCACUUGAUGUUAAACUCUGUACGUGUAUAGCUAGAUUGCCUGCUAGAUCUUGCUUUAUAAAUUAUUCAUUGCCUUCCAUACAAAGGUUCUGGUUUUGACUUUUGUUUCAGAUAUUAAUUUUUGUUCUAGCUCUUUUUUGUACAGACAAUGUGUGUGCUGUUUAAAUGAUGAUUAUGACAUUGCGAGGCCUGGUACAGAUUGUAUUUAUAAUGUAUCUAUUUCCAGUUUUGGUUAAGAGUUGUUACUUGAUACAACGUGCUUUUCAAUUGCAGGUCCAUGAUGCAGUUCCACCUCUCUCCGUAGCACAAAACCUUUCUUGCCACACAUUAUGCAAGUCAUCCUCAUUGAUCAUACAUUUAUAAUUUCUUCACGGUUCGGUAUAUCACAUAUAUUAGGAUGUUAACGCCACUCAUGGGUUGGAUGCUAUAGCAUAAGGAAAAUUGAUAGCCAGCCAUGAUCGUCCAUCCAUCAAUUUAGUUUGCUUUUUCUUCUGUUGUUAGUUUCUACUACUUUGCUAGCUAAGUGAUGUCUAUCUGAAGCUGUGAACCUUAUGAACCCUGAUCUGAAUCUUGGUGUUUGCGAAUUCUGAAUGAAGGGCAUGGAACCGGUCCUUCUAAAUGAAUUUGCUGAUGAGUGUGUUGCAUUGUUGAUUUCAUGGUUAUUCUUCUUUUUGAAUACAUGGCUAUUCUUGGGUUUGAGCCAUAGGCAUGCAGCAAUGAAAUCUAAUUGCAUUGAUGCCGAGAGGCGAGAGGAAAGUUCUCGCCUUGGGCUUGAUCCAGGUCAGGGAGGAUUGGAGAUUGAAUGAAUUUGCUGGGCUUUUCACACUAAUUUAAGGCAGAUAAAAUGAAAAUUAGUUAGAAAAUAGAAGUGACUGGAUAGGGAGAGAGAGAGACUUGUUCGAAACAGAGUGGGGUUGGGAAUAUGACAAAUUUUCAGCUAUGACAAUGAGCAAUAAUUAAACUAUCUGGUGGUUAUGUUGUUCAGCAGGCUGAGUGCACACAAAAUCACUCCAUUCGUUGGAAUAAAAUGAGAAGGCGCGGUGCACACAGACGCUGGUGAAUCCAAGACGCGGCGACUUCUCGGUCCUGCCAUCUAACUAUUGCAUUUACGAGUGAUGCAAUUUUUAAACGGGUUUGGUUUCUGUCAAUAAAUUAAACAUGAAUGAGUCUCCAAAAAUAAAAUACUAUUGCAAAAGGGCCCGUGCGUUGCAACGGGACAAAAAAACAUAUCACAAUCUUCAAUGUAAUUAUGUAACACUUAUUUAAUUCAUUUUUUUCAAACGUCAGAAAUAAAGCUACAUUAAGUAUUUCUUUUUGGACUAUGGAAUUUGGACGUAUCGUAGACAUGUUUGUCAUGACCCAUUUCAGCUCUUCGAUGAAAGAGUUUUUCAAUCAUUUUUAUUUUUGUUGUUCAGAAAAACAUGAAUAUAUAUUUAAUUUGAGAAGGAUUUUUUUUCCUAAUUUGUUAGAAUAUUUUUUAAAUGGAAUCAUUUUUUUGAGAUGGAAAUGGAAUCAUUUUUAUGGUGACUAACAUUUGGAAUAUUAUAUUUCAUCUGUAAUAAC